CGCGCUGUCGUGCUGCCGGGCUAGCUGCUUGGCCGGUCGCAUGCGACUAGGUCUUGUUGGUUGGUCUUGGUGGUGCGGCAGUGCCCUGGUCGACCCUCGGUGUAAAAGUUGGUCAUCUCUCCGACCCGUCUUGAAACACGGACCAAGGAGUCUAGCGUAUGCGCGAGUCAUUGGGUGGAAAACCCAUAGGCGAAAUGAAAGUGAAGGUCUCUUCAUGAGGCUGAUAUGCGAUCCGUUGCACUACGGUGUACGCGGAGCAGCAUAGCCCCGUCUCGACUGCUUGCAGUGGGGCGGAGGUAGAGCGUAUACGCUGGUACCCGAAAGAUGGUGAACUAUGCCUGAGCAGGAUGAAGCCAGAGGAAACUCUGGUGGAGGUCCGAAGCGCUUCUGACGUGCAAAUCGAUCGUCUGACUUGGGUAUAGGGGCGAAAGACUAAUCGAACCAUCUAGUAGCUGGUUCCUUCCGA
rnacentral:rRNA from 1 species